UAAAACAUUCAACUUUAUGGUAAGUUGUCAAAGCACACCUUUCAUUUUACUUUUUCAAUUUGUUUUAGGAGCUCUUUGUUCAAUUUCUAGCCACCUAUUCCUACAGACAUGGCAGUGGAAAGGAGAAGAAAGCACUGACUUACAAUGAUUUAGCCAAUACUGCAGAGGAAUCGGAAACUUUUCAGUUUCUUGCAGAUAUAUUGCCAAAGAAGAUUUUAGCUAGUAAAUACCUGAAAAUGCUUAAAGAGGAAAAGAGGGAAGAAGAUGAGAAUGAUGAUGGUGAAAAUGACAAUGACGAAGCUGAAUCGUAACCCAAAAAAAUGCUUUGCAAAUCAGCCUGGCGAGAACCUUCCUGGAUCAGCAUCACUGCUUUGAAGUAAACACAACACAGCGUGCCUUUAGUCUUUCACUUUUUCAGAGACUUCUAGCGUGUUGUGUUCUUUCUGAGCUAAGGUAGAGCAAACAGCCCAAGGACCCAGACAGCAGCCUGUCUCUGACAGGCCCACAUAGCAGUUGGUCACCAGGAAGGCCCCCUGCACAGGUGGCCACAAGCAGUUAAUUGGUCUGCUGCAGCUCCAGACUGUAUAGAGGCAAAGACAAAAGAUUUUGCUUAACUUUAAAAUUUACAAAUAGAUUUCUGAAGAGCUUCUAUAUAUCAGUUAUGUAAAUGCAUACAUGUAUAUUUUGGAAUUGGUUCAUGUAAGCAACAUGAUUCAGUUUUUGCUAAAUGUGCAGUUUAUAGGUAGUAUGUUACAUUUGAAUUUUUGUAUUUUAAGAAAUUUCUUUGACUAUUCAAAUCUUUUUCUAUUGUAAAGACAUGCUUUCCUAUUAAAGAUCUAUACAUAUUUUUACAGUAAAAUGCUUUAUGGUACUAGUCGUAGAGGCCUCUAUUGCUCUAAUGCCUUGCUUACUGCUUGAUAAUUUUUUGAUUAAAAAAAGAAAGCAUUUCUAACAUUUUUAUUCCUAGAGAAAAAUUCCCAGCCAAUUAUCAAAAUAGACUGAGGCAGAAGAAUCUCUGAGCCCAGGAGGUUGGGGUUGCUGUGAGCUGUAAUCGUGUCAUUGCACUGCAGCCCUGGGUGACAGAGUGAGACCCUGACUCAAAAAAAACAAAACAAACUAAAAUAAAAUAUUAACUCUGCAUAAGCAUAUUGCUCUUAAAUAAUUUUUGCAACAUUUUAUGUAUUGAAGCUAUCUUUUGUCUUACUGUUCUUUGCUUUAAAUCCCUGAUACUUGUUUUUACUGUCUACAAGAGAAAAGCAGAAACCCAUUUUUUAAAAAAAACAGGGUAAAUGUUUGGCUCCUGUCUUUUCAGUAUAUCUCUCUUUUAUAAAAAAGAGUUAUAAUUUACAUCCAGGAAAAUCACCCUUUUAGUGUCUAGUCUGUGAAUGUUGACAAAUGCUUAGUUUUGGAACCAGUCAAUACACAGAACAGUUUCAUUUCCCAAAAUAUGCCCCUGUGCCCUCUUGUAGUCAGUCUUUUCUCCUACCCUCUGGCAACAACCACUGAUGUUUUUUAGUACCUCAUGUUUAUCAAAACUUAUUUUAAAAUAAAAUUUUUUAAAAUCUACAUGUGGUGUAUAGUUUUAAGUUCUGACAUAUGCAAUCAUGUAACCACCACCACAAUUAAGAUACAACAGUUCUGUCACCCUCCAGAAAAUUCCCUUGUGGUCUAAUCCAUCCACACCUAUUGCCCUGACAAUCAUAGAGCUAUUCUGUCCCUGUAACAGGAGUCAGCAAAUUUUUUCUGGAAAGGGCCAUGUAGUAAAUAUCUAAAGCAUCGUGGACUAUAUAAUCUUUUUUGCAAUUACUAAAUUCUGCCAUUGUACAGAAAUAGCCAUAGAUAAUGUGUAAAGGAAUGAAUUGACUGUAUUUCAAUAGAACUUUAUUUCUGGAA